CUUUGGAAACACCGCAGCCACCCGACUUCCCAUUUCGACCGACUAUUUUGACGACUCGUCACGCUUUGUGUUUUGGCAAGAACCAUUUUUGCUUCUUUCUGUCUCCUUCGUUGUCGCCAGACAUUCAGGUGACCGCGACAGCGCUCAUCAGUACCGGGAAGGCGGCGACGACGACGUCUGGCUGGCCGUCUUCCUGAAUGGCACACCGGGUGGAUUGGGCUGCUUGUGUAUCGCCUGUUUAGCAGCCAGCAGCCGCCCCACGCUCCAGUGUUCAGGCGUGGGAUCACAUGUUGACACAAAGGGGCAUUUCUCGACCACUGGGAGCACCCGAUCUCCAAAACAACAAACUGGACGAUGGAUAGCAAAAAAAACUUUUUUCAUGAAAUCAUUCAGAUUUUACAAUGUCCAGCCACAGUGAAAAUAAUGGAAUUACCAUUACUUAUUUCUAGGCUCCCCCAAAUCAAACAUAAGAUAUCCUUUAUUUGUCCCACACAAGAUACGAAACGAAGCAUUUUGUAUUUUUUUUUAUUAAGUACGCUUCAGAUGUCUUUCGCAUAUUUGGAAACCGUGCUUACGACCAACAACACAUUUUAUGUUCUGGUAUUUCAAGCCCAUUUCAAAUUAAAAUGUAAUUAAACUUACCCAUGGGUGAAAACGC